rnacentral:tRNA from 1 species
GCCGAGGUAGCUCAGCGGUAGAGCAACUGUUUCGUAAACAGUAGGUCGCGAGUUCGAUUCUCGCCCUCGGCUUCA